rnacentral:rRNA from 1 species
GAUGAACGCUGGCGGCGUGCCUAAUACAUGCAAGUCGAGCGAACAGACGAUAAGCUUGUUCCUCUGACGGUAGCGGGGGACGGGUGGGUAACACGUGGAUAACCUUCCUAUUAUUCUGGGGGAACUUCGGGAAACCGGUGCCAAUAACGGCUAAUACAUUCUACCGGAUAGAGCAAUGGUGAAAGGCGGUUUUGCUGUCUCUUAUAGAUGGUUCCGCGCCGCAUUAGCUAGUUGGUAAGGUACCGGCUUACCAAGGCAACGAUCCGUAGCCGACCUGAGAGGAUGAUCAGCCACACUGGAACUGAGACACGGUCCAGACUCCUACGGGAGGCAGCAGUGGGGAAUAUUGGGCAAUGGGCGAAAGCCUGAUGGAGCAACACCGCGUGAGUGAUGAAGGCCUUCGGGUCGUAAAGCCCUGUUGUUGGGAAAGAAAAGAAGUAGAUUUAUCUCUGGACGUCUUGACGGUACCCAAAGAGAAAGCACCGGCUAACUACGUG